rnacentral:tRNA from 1 species
AGCAGCAUGGCUGAGUGGAAAGAGCAUUGGCCUGGGGAGUCAGAGGACCUGAGUUCUAAUCCCGGCUCUGCCA